UGGGGAAUAUUGGACAAUGGGCGGAAGCCUGAUCCAGCAACGCCGCGUGAGGGAUGACGGCCUUCGGGUUGUAAACCUCUUUCAGUACCGACGAAGCGAAAGUGACGGUAGGUACAGAAGAAGGACCGGCCAACUACGUGCCAGCAGCCGCGGUAAUACGUAGGGUCCGAGCGUUGUCCGGAAUUAUUGGGCGUAAAGGGCUCGUAGGCGGUUUGUCGCGUCGGGAGUGAAAACAGCGGGCUUAACUCGUUGCUUGCUUUCGAUACGGGCAGACUAGAGGUAUGCAGGGGAGAAUGGAAUUCCUGGUGUAGCGGUGAAAUGCGCAGAUAUCAGGAGGAACACCGGUGGCGAAGGCGGUUCUCUGGGCAUUACCUGACGCUGAGGAGCGAAAGUGUGGGGAGCGAACAGGAUUAGAUACCCUGGUAGUCCACACCGUAAACGUUGGGCGCUAGGUGUGGGGUCCUUUCCACGGAUUCCGUGCCGUAAGCUAACGCAUUAAGCGCCCCGCCUGGGGAGUACGGCGCAAGGCUCAAAACU
rnacentral:rRNA from 1 species